GAAGUGGAUACAUGAAGAGGAAAAAUGGAAAACUGAAUAUUGUGCAUUUAUCACCCAUAAACCGCCAUUAAAAUAGACUUUACAUUAGACAAAAACAAUUUUGAUACACCAGAAAUUGUGCACGUGACCAUAGUUGCUCCUAAAAUAUAAGAAACUAGUAACAAAUCAAACUUGCACCUAAACUCACGGUUAUUUAUUGAUAAAAACAACAAAAGAAAUAUAUCUAACAUUAUUUGCAAUGGUGGAACAGAAAUUCUAAGCAUGAAUACUAGCUUCCAACAGAGUAACAAGCAAACAGAAGACACUGAACCUAACUUUUCCCCUAAUUUUCAUUCAAGCGGUCAAAUGAAAUAUGGUGGAGUUAUCUAUUCAAUAGACCAUUGAUCAAUAUUAUAGGGUAGUUUUCUAAAAUUUUGUGCAAGAAACAUCUCAGUUCCACACAAUAUAUGAUAUACGAAUGUUAAUGAAAUUCUGAGUAAAAACAAAUUGGGCAACUCACUUAUGAACCUCAUGGACCAUCCCUGUAUAUAAUGCAAGACUAAGUGCAGCUCACAACCCAGCCUAAAAGUGAAUUACACUUUUGUCUAACUCGAGAUCAGGAUAAUUGAGUCACAGCCAAUACACAACUACAUAGCAAAACCAGCACCAGGAAAAAGUGAUGGAUGCAAAGCUCCUUUCCUCAUGAUUAUAAAUCAAUUCAUUCAGGCUCAUAACUUAGGCCUGAGCCUAACUCUGCCCAAUAGCAAACUUAUGAGAAGAGGAUUGUCUAAACCACUAGUUUGUUUUUUUUUUUUUUUUU
rnacentral:lncRNA from 1 species